rnacentral:rRNA from 1 species
CAGCCGCCACGGGAAUACAGAGGGUGCGAGCGUUAAUCGGAUUUACUGGGCGUAAAGCGUGCGUAGGCGGCUAAUUGAGUCGGAUGUGAAAUCCCCGAGCUUAACUUGGGAAUUGCAUUCGAUACUGGUUAGCUAGAGUGUGGGAGAGGAUGGUAGAAUUCCAGGUGUAGCGGUGAAAUGCGUAGAGAUCUGGAGGAAUACCGAUGGCGAAGGCAGCCAUCUGGCCUAACACUGACGCUGAGGUACGAAAGCAUGGGGAGCAAACAGGAUUAGAUACCCGGGUAGUCCCUGUCUCUUAUAA